UGGAGGCAGGGCCUGUGGCAGAGCCAGGGCUGAGCAGUGAGCACCCCCGGCACAUUGGAAAGUUGGCGCCUGGAACUCCAGCCCCGGUGUCGGUGCCUAUACAGGGAGCCGCAUAUUAACUUCUGAAGAGCCACACGGGGCUCUGGAGCCACAGGUUGGCCACCCCUGUCCUACAUCAUCUCCUCCUUACCUCGGUCAGUGCUGUUCACAUCUUCCAGGUGUCCCAGAAAUUCCUAGUUUACGAGAAUCCAUGCCUCCCCCCUUCCCAAAGGGGUGUUCUUGAAGAUACUGUCAUGAAACAUUUGGCUCAUAACACAAUAUUGUAGAAUUAACAUCAGUUCAUUGCAUUCCCCUCUAGGCUUGGGCUCUGGCCCUGACAUCUCUGUGGAGGGACAUCAGGACGGAGGGAUCAAGGUGGUGUGUCGUUCAUCCAGAUGGUACCCACAGCCCGAGGCUCAGUGGAGAGAUCUUCAGGGACAGUUCUUACCAUCAGCCUCUGAAAACAUAUCCCAAGCAGCCAGUGGCCUGUUUCAAACAGAGAUUGUCAUUGUUAUAACAGAAGAGUCCAACCAGAAAGUGUCCUGCUGUGUUAGGAACCCGCGUGUCAACCAGGAGAGAGAGUCAGCAAUUUACAUAGCAGAUCUCUUUUUUUCCACGGGUCUCUCCCUGGGUGGUGGCUCUGGUAGUGAUCCUGGCUCUUGUCAUUGUCCUGGCCAUCUGCUGCAUCUGGACACAACGCAGAGCAAAAGAGACCCUGCAAACUCAUAUGAAGAAUCAGAAGGGGAUUCUGCUAACUGAAAUGGAGCGUGAGAAUG